AGAGAGAGACAUGCGCGCAUAUCAAUAAGCGGAGGAAAAGAAACUAACAAGGAUUCCCCUAGUAACGGCGAGUGAAGCGGGAAGAGCUCAAAUUUGAAAUCUUAAAGGGUUUCCCUUUACGAAUCGUAGUUUAAAGAAGUGUUUUCUGUUGAGGUUUUGGUAAAAGUUCUUUGGAAUAGGACAUCAUAGAGGGUGAGAAUCCCGUAUUUGACCUUUACUUUCAACUUUGUGAUACACUUUCAAAGAGUCGGAUUGUUUGGGAAUGCAGUCCAAAAUGGGUGGUAAACUUCAUCUAAAGCUAAAUAUUGGCGAGAGACCGAUAGCGAACAAGUACCGUGAGGGAAAGAUGAAAAGAACUUUGAAAAGAGAGUUAAACAGUACGUGAAAUUGUCAAAAGGGAAGCGUUUGACACCAGUGUUGUUUUUCUGAAAAUCAAUUAAAGAACUGUUUAUGCUAAGCUGUUUAGACUUUAUCAGCUAACUGUUUAGUUUUGAGCUUUUCUUUAAUGCACUUUUCAGUUAACAAGUCAACAUCAAUUUCUUUUGCUGUAAAAAAGCUUGAGGAAGGUGGCUUGAGAUUCGUCUUAAGUGUUUAUAGCCUCUUGCCUAUGCAGUCGGAGAGAUUGAGGUCUGCAGCGUAGAUCCUUCGGGGCUAAAUGCAUUUGUGCUAAGUUAUAGCAUUUUAUAGACAACUUGUUGACUAUGAUUUGUCUUGUAGCUUACUCGCUUAUGUUAUUUUACCUACGCUUAGGAUGUUGACGCAUGAGAUAUACGC
rnacentral:rRNA from 1 species